rnacentral:misc_RNA from 1 species
GAUGAAGAACGUAGCGAAAUGCGAUAAGUAAUGUGAAUUGCAGAAUUCAGUGAAUCAUCGAAUCUUUGAACGCACAUUGCGCCCGCCAGUAUUCUGGCGGGCAUGCCUGUUCGAGUGUCAUUUCAACCCUCAAGCCCCCGGGCUUGGUGUUGGGGAUCGGCGUGCCCUCGCGGCGCGCCGUCCCCUAAAUCUAGUGGCGGUCUCGCUGUAGCUUCCUCUGCGUAGUAGCAACACUCGCACUGGAUCGCAGCGCGGCCACGCCGUUAAACCCCCCACUUCUGAAAGUUUGACCUCGGAUCAGGUAGGAAUACCCGCUGAACUUAAGCAUAUCAAUAAGCGGAGGA